GACAUCUUGGCCGAGUCUGGUCUGAAGGCGAUAUCUUGCUAAGGUAUUAUCGAAAGAUGCGUGAGUUCAAAUCUCACAGAUGUCA
rnacentral:tRNA from 1 species